GCCCGCAGCCGGGAGCGGCGGCCGCGGGUACUGGCCUCUCACUAUGAGGGCUCGCAGCGCGGAAGAGGCGGGCCGCCCGCCAUGAGGAUUUCCCGCAGAUAACAUGGCUUAAGCGCAUGUGAAGCUCGGAGGUCUGGCUGGCUAUGAGCUCCCUGGAGGAUGCAGCCUUCAGAGAAGUGGCUUGCAUGCCCUCGUUGGGGCAGCAGUAGUUGUCAGAAGGAACAAGCCAUCCAUGCUGCUUGGAAGAUCCCCAUUUGACAGGUACUGAGAAGAUGAAAACUUAAAGUCCACAAUAUCAGUGAAGUACUUCAGGGUCUGGAUGUAGUAACUUGAAACAUCAGUGGAGGCUGGAGGCAAGGUAUCACAAGAAUUACAUGUAUAAUGUGUUAAUCCCCUCUCACUGCUUGUUUAAUUUUUUUAAUGUGACCUCUAUUAAACUUAUUUGUAUUUAAA